CGUGAUGCAUUUGGUCAUCCUAUCAAGACGAGCCCUACGAAAGGGCUUAGGAAUAAAUGUCAGAAGAAAAAUGUUAAGACCGAAGAAACGCGURCUGUGACGCAGACUCCGUCCGCAGUAUUAGGUUGAACUGAGAAUUUUCCACGUUAAGAAAGGAGCCCCUUAAAAUGACCAAGACAAUAUGGUAAAGAUAGAAAAAGUGGUAAUUGCAACUGUGAGUAUAAGACGAAGAAACUGUGUUGCAGAA